rnacentral:tRNA from 1 species
GAGGCUUUGGCUUAAUUCAAAGUAUCUGAGUUGCAGUCAGAAGAUGUAUUAUUAUACAGGCCUUC